GGGGGGAGAACUUGAUUAAGAAAUCAAUUCCAGGACCGACCCAACACUAAUUAUGAUACAAUUUAUGACGUCAGUGAAAAUAGCCAGGCCAAUUGUAUGACAGUUGGUAAUAGUGAAACAAAACAUAUGAUUGUUAUGUUAAUUGACGACUAAAUGAUGUCGUCAUCAAAAUUAUUUUUCUUUUUCAUCAGCUAGUCUCAUAUCUUAUAUUUAUCAGCUGACAUCUACACAGUUUCAAAAGAGGAGAAAUGAUCGUGUUUGGUGCAAGACAAAUCAGGGUUCUUCAAGGAUUUAUUCCUUCCAUGGCUCUUUAUGGAGUAACGGGGACUUCUCUUCUCCUAUUUAUGACAUCCGAGUGGAAGGGACGUUUAGUUCUUGACAAAAUCCCAAUUUACAACCGAAAAUACGACAAUCCCAUUCAAGACUAAAGGGUUCUUUCAAGAAAUUUUAAAAAAAUGUAGUAGUAAUCAUCAUGCCAUUAUAUAAUAAUAAUAUUUUAUUUAAAUUGUUCCUUAAAUGAACUAUAUUUAAUUUAAUAAUUGAUCCUUUUUUUCCUUGGGCCAAUAAAAAGCAAUUCUAAAUAGUAAAUUAUAUAAUAAAAAAAGAUGAACUUUCCUCAUUUACAUCUACCCUCAAUGUUAGUUUUUUGAUUUUGUAUACUACAAAUAGGGUGUUCCUGAAUUUAGUCCCAUUAAAAAAGUUAAAUUGCUCAACGAUUAUGGCUUGUAUUAGAAUAAAAUAUUUUCACAAACGUCAAAAAUUGCAUCAUAAUUGAACGAUAAUGAAUUUUGCGGCUCUAAGAUGAUGUGCUUAUUAAAAUUUCCUAAUACAUUUACUCCAUCAAAUGGGUUUCUGAAUAAAAAUACUUAAUACACCUGUAAUGAAUAACACUUACGUAUGCCAAUGUUAAACAAUGAUAUUUGAAUUAGAUCAAAGUAACAUGUACUGAAAACCUC
rnacentral:lncRNA from 1 species